UUCCCCAUGUCUCCCUGUUUUCCCUACAUGUCCCACACUGGCCUGCUCCCGCUAACUAGGGGGGCGUGGUGAUUAGUUACACACCGGAGUUCGUUCGCACUGAUUACUGGCCGGACAGUAUAAAACCACCCAGCUUCGUGGUCACCGGCUAGUCUGCUCCUGCUGCCCGUGUGUUAGACACCAUCCCUUAUUCAUUCUACAGCUGAACGUGGGUGAGUGCUCCCCAUACGGCGCUUUGUGCACUAAUCGUAGUUACGAACAUAGGUAUGUACGAUGCUUGCUUUAAUGGGUAACUUUCUAGGCGGCAGUAGAAGGCUUUAUGUUCAAUGUCUUUUCUGUCCUGUCCAGGUAGCGCGGCCUUUUCCAUCUACGCGGGGUGCAUAGCGUGGGUCGUGCUGCUGUCUUGUCUGUAGUUAUUUUAUUUUGGUGUAGCCUAAUUGUGUGCGGUUUUUCAAGUACGUUCUGUGUCUUUCUUUUUGUGGGCAUUAAUUUAGUGUCUACGUCUGCCUGUGUUUGGGUUUAUUUGGCGUUUAUGUCAGCCUGCAUGUUGCUUGCCGCAUUAGUAGAGAGGAACGGGGCAUAAGUGGCAUAUGCUUCAUCCUGGUAACUGCUUAGGUUCUGUCUGGUGCUGGCUGUCAUUUGCGUGUGUUUGUAUUUCUUUUGUCCUGGUGUGCCUGCAUUAUCUACCAUAACGUCUGUAUUGGCUGACUGUAUUUUUGCCCCCCCGCCCUUGUGGUGCUGUUUUAUUUGUUUGUUUGGCAGAUGUGGGGCCCUCUUUGAGGGAGGCUAGUCACCUGGUGGUGGGACCCUGUAGCUGCACAUUUGUGGUGUCAUUGUUGCUUGCGGUGGGCUGCUGUGUCACUGGUAAGUCACUUUCUUGCAGUGUGUAUGCACGUGUGAUGGCUGGAACUUAGAACACACCUCCAGUUAGUCUGUCUCCCUCAGGUAAGCCCCCAUCUGCUGUAUCUUUUUAGCUCCAGUGGAGCCUGGCCCCACUUUAGAAAUCACCUGUUCAUAUUGUA